CAGGCAGAUAAGCAUCUGAGAUUCUCUAAGGUUUACAUUCUGCAACUUUUGUCACAGUCCGGCAAUGUUAACACUGCCUUUAUAUCAAAAUAAGAAGAUCUAAGUGAUAUGAGUGACAUGAAAUCCAUGUCCGAGUCACUAUUCUUAAAAGUAAACCAUUAUAGAUCAAAGACGGAUCCUUGGCUCACACCGAACAGCAAGCUAGAAAGGCCCCAAAAAUGACUACAGUAGCAUUAAACUUUUUAAACAGGAAA
rnacentral:lncRNA from 1 species